UUUUGGACAAUGGGCGCAAGCCUGAUCCAGCAAUGCCGCGUGGGUGAAGAAGGCCUUCGGGUUGUAAAGCUCUUUUGUCAGGGAAGAAACGGUGAGCUCUAAUACAGUUUGCUAAUGACGGUACCUGAAGAAUAAGCACCGGCUAACUACGUGCCAGCAGCCGCGGUAAUACGUAGGGUGCAAGCGUUAAUCGGAAUUACUGGGCGUAAAGCGUGCGCAGGCGGUUAUGUAAGUCAGAUGUGAAAUCCCCGGGCUCAACCUGGGAAUGGCAUUUGAGACUGCAUGGCUAGAGUGUGUCAGAGGGGGGUAGAAUUUCACGUGUAGCAGUGAAAUGCGUAGAGAUGUGGAGGAAUACCGAUGGCGAAGGCAGCCCCCUGGGAUAACACUGACGCUCAUGCACGAAA
rnacentral:rRNA from 1 species